GGGCCCGCACAAGCGGCGGAGCAUGCGGAUUAAUUCGAUGCAACGCGAAGAACCUUACCAAGGCUUGACAUAUAGAGGAAAAGUGCAGAAAUGCACUCCCCGCAAGGUCUCUAUACAGGUGGUGCAUGGUUGUCGUCAGCUCGUGUCGUGAGAUGUUGGGUUAAGUCCCGCAACGAGCGCAACCCUCGUCCUAUGUUGCCAGCACGUAAUGGUGGGAACUCAUGGGAUACUGCCGGGGUCAACUCGGAGGAAGGUGGGGAUGACGUCAAAUCAUCAUGCCCCUUAUGUCUUGGGCUUCACGCAUGCUACAAUGGCCGGUACAGAGAGCAGCCACUACGCGAGUAGGAGCGAA
rnacentral:rRNA from 1 species